rnacentral:rRNA from 1 species
AGGMGGAMCGUGGCGCSKGCCUAAUACAUGCAAGUCGAGCGGAUCUKCAUUAGCUUGCUUUUGAAGAUCAGCGGCGGACGGGUGAGUAACACGUGGGCAACCUGCCUGUAAGACUGGGAUAACUUCGGGAAACCGGAGCUAAUACCGGAUAAUCCUUUCCCUCACAUGAGGGAAAGCUGAAAGACGGUUUCGGCUGUCACUUACAGAUGGGCCCGCGGCGCAUUAGCUAGUUGGUGAGGUAACGGCUCACCAAGGCAACGAUCGUAGCCGACCUGAGAGGGUGAUCGGCCACACUGGACUGAGACACGGCCCAGACUCUACGGGAGGCAGCAGUAGGGAAUCUUCCGCAAUGGACGAAAGUCUGACGGAGCAACGCCGCGUGAACGAUGAAGGCUUUCGGGUCGUAAAGUUCUGUUGUCAGGGAAGAACAAGUAUCGGAGUAACUGCCGGUACCUUGACGGUACCUGACCAGAAAGCCACGGCUAACUACGUGCCAGCAGCCGCGGUAAUACGUAGGUGGCAAGCGUUGUCCGGAAUUAUUGGGCGUAAAGCGCGCGCAGGCGGUUCCUUAAGUCUGAUGUGAAAGCCCCCGGCUCAACCGGGGAGGGUCAUUGGAAACUGGGGAACUUGAGUGCAGAAGAGGAGAGCGGAAUUCCACGUGUAGCGGUGAAAUGCGUAGAGAUGUGGAGGAACACCAGUGGCGAAGGCGGCUCUCUGGUCUGUAACUGACGCUGAGGCGCGAAAGCGUGGGGAGCGAACAGGAUUAGAUACCCUGGUAGUCCACGCCGUAAACGAUGAGUGCUAAGUGUUAGAGGGUUUCCGCCCUUUAGUGUGAGAAACGAUUAGCAUCGC